UCUAGAACUCGAGAUAUGGGCUCCACACUGAAUAGUGUCUAGGUUGCAGGACAGAUUCUGACUUCUCUAUUAUUGGUACAAUUUGAACUUGAAAACGGUCCUUUUGAAUCUUGGACUCUUAUGAAAGUUUUAGGCCUAUGUCUUAACUUUCCAUA
rnacentral:pre_miRNA from 1 species